CGCAGGAGAUGGAAGCAGCAGCACAACGCAGGCGGUGGGGAUGGCCGCCCCCAGGAGGAAGGCCAGGAAAUCUCGCAUGCCCAAAACAGAGGCUAGAAAAUUGGUCGGGCGCCGUUACGGAAGUACGGCGAGGUUACUUAUCUGCCGUCGGUCCACUCUACGCUACGCAUAGAUCAGAGAGACCGUAAUUAUAUCUGGCGCCGAGGACAUGAGUUAAAGAACAUACUAAGGCACACUGUACGUUCUCGGUCGCAAGAUGGUUCCGAAUUUAGCUUCGGAGGCCGAAGUCAAUCCUAGCGGAGCCACUAGGUGCGGAAUCUAACGACUCUGUGUGGAUCGCCAAGCAAUCGUGCGGCCGGGCAUGGCUGGGCAGAUGCGUGCCCCCGCACCUGCGUACCCCUGCGAAUUUCUCG